GACGAACGCUGGCGGCGUGCUUAACACAUGCAAGUCGAACGGAAAGGCCCUGCUUUUGUGGGGUGCUCGAGUGGCGAACGGGUGAGUAACACGUGAGUAACCUGCCCUUGUCUUUGGGAUAACUUCAGGAAACUGGGGCUAUUACCGGAUAGGAUCUCCUGCUGCAUGGUGGGGGUUGGUAAGUUUCGGCGGUUGGGGAUGGACUCGCGGCUAAUCCGAUUGUUGGUGGGGUAGUGGCUUACCAAGGUAUUGACGGGUAGCCGGCCUGGGCGGGGAGCCGGCGAAAAGAGGACUGGGGUAGGACGCAGACGGGAAGGGGAGGCAAGGGAGGAGAAGAUAACAGAAUAGGGGGGAGCGAGAGACGAAAAAGCAGCGAGCGGGAAGACGGGCUUCGGGUUGUAAACCGAUGUCGCCUGUGACGAAGCGAGAGUGACGGUAAUGGGUAAAGAAGCACCGGCUAACUACGUG
rnacentral:rRNA from 1 species